CAAGGAUGAAACUUCCCAGACCAGCCUCACCCUCAGCAGGGGAAAGAGAAGCUACCCAGACCUACACACCUUUGUGCAGGGCAUGAAGGACGACCAUUGGAAUCUGCUGAGUGAGAAUAUGCGUGCCGGGAUGAGCAGACAUGAGUUUAGUGCCAAGUGCAUGGAUAUUGUAGCAUGGGUGAUGGAGUCUACAUCCACUGUGGUUGUUCCCGCCCUUGACCUCACCAUGCAGAUAGAGCUCUCUGAUUCGCCAAGCUCUUCUGGAUCAGGAAGUAAUGAGGCAGGAGAGGUGACCUCUCUUGGCC